rnacentral:tRNA from 1 species
GGGCUGAUAGUUUAACUGGGAAAACACCUGUUUUGCACGCAGGAAUUAAGGGUUCGAGUCCCUUUCUGGUCCACCA